GACGAACGCUGGCGGCGUGCCUAAUACAUGCAAGUCGAACGCACUCUCGUUUAGAUUGAAGGAGCUUGCUCCUGAUUGAUAAACAUUUGAGUGAGUGGCGGACGGGUGAGUAACACGUGGGUAACCUGCCCUAAAGUGGGGGAUAACAUUUGGAAACAGAUGCUAAUACCGCAUAAAACCUAAACACCGCAUGGUGUAGGGUUGAAAGAUGGUUUCGGCUAUCACUUUAGGAUGGACCCGCGGUGCAUUAGUUAGUUGGUGAGGUAAAGGCUCACCAAGACCGUGAUGCAUAGCCGACCUGAGAGGGUAAUCGGCCACACUGGGACUGAGACACGGCCCAGACUCCUACGGGAGGCAGCAGUAGGGAAUCUUCCCACAAUGGACGAAAGUCUGAUGGAGCAACGCCGCGUGAGUGAAGAAGGUUUUCGGAUCGUAAAACUCUGUUGUUGGAGAAGAAUGUAUCUGAUAGUAACUGAUCAGGUAGUGACGGUAUCCAACCAGAAAGCC
rnacentral:rRNA from 1 species